CGUACGAAGCUGUUCUAGCAGAGCAAUCAGGCUUCCGGGUUGAUCACCUUUGCACUUCGACCUUGACCUCCACUCCAGAUCUUCCAACUGACUAGACGAUACCACUGCGUACAUGUGGUAUAUAUAGGUAAGUCCCCAUAUGACAGGCCUGCCCAGGAAGACUGCCCGCGCUCCGAGUGCCAGCGCCUUCAGCGCGUCAGUUCCCGUCCGCACGCCUCCGUCCAGUAGCUGGAACUCCAUCCAGUUGUCUCCCUCCGUGAUUGGACACAAGAAUCCCCUUUACACCUGGGUGGUCCAGGGCUAUCCCAGCAUCCUCUGCUGUCAGGAUUCCCUUCAGUAUGAUUGGCAG